AGUCACUGACAUUAGAUACCCGCGUAGUCCAGGGUGUAAACGCUGCAGACUUGGUGUUGGAGGCCCUUUGGGGCAUUCAGUGCCGGAGAGAAGUUGUUAAGUCUGCUACUUGGGGAGUACGUCCGCAAGGAUGAAACUUAAGGAAGUUGGCGGGGAGCACCGCAACGGGAGGAGCGUGCGGUUUAAUUGGAUUCAACACCGUAAACUCACCAGGGAAGACUGUUACAUGAAGGCCGAGAUGAAGACUCUGCUAGAUUUUCAG
rnacentral:rRNA from 1 species